AUGGCUCAGGAUGAACGCUAGCUACAGGCUUAACACAUGCAAGUCGAGGGGCAGCAUUGGGUAGCAAUACUCAGAUGGCGACCGGCGCACGGGUGAGUAACACGUAUCCAACCUGCCGCUUACUCGGGGGAUAGCCUUUCGAAAGAAAGAUUAAUACCCGAUGGUAUAAAGAGUUCGCAUGUUCUCUUUAUUAAAGAAUUUCGGUAAGCGAUGGGGAUGCGUUCCAUUAGAUAGUUGGCGGGGUAACGGCCCACCAAGGCGACGAUGGGUAUCCGGCCUGAGAGGGUGUACGGACACAUUGGGACUGAGAUACGGCCCAAACUCCUACGGGAGGCAGCAGCUAAGAAUAUUCCGCAAUGGACGAAAGUCUGACGGAGCGACGCCGCGUGGAUGAAGAAAGGCCGGAAGGUUGUAAAAUCCUUUUGCUGAUGAAGAAUAAGUGUGGUAGGGAAUGACCGCAUGAUGACAUUAGUCGGUGAAUAAGCCCCGGCUAACUACGUGCCAGCAGCUGC
rnacentral:rRNA from 1 species